AUCAGUUUAUUUGAAGAAAAAUUGGUCCACACUUGAACAGGGUUUUACCUUCUCUCGUUACAAUAUGACAAUAAUAUAAAUCAUAUCAUGCUGUGGUACUUUUCUCACU